AACUUAAAUGAAUUGACGGGGCCCGCACAAGCGGUGGAGCAUGUGGUUUAAUCGAUGAUACGCGAGGAACCUUACCUGGGCUCAAAUGUAUGUUGACGUAUUCUGAAAGGGAUACUUCUUCGGACAAUAUACAAGGUGCUGCAUGGUUGUCGUCAGCUCGUGUCGUGAGAUGUUGGGUUAAGUCCCGUAACGAGCGCAACCCUUGUCCUUAGUUACCAGCACGUUAUGGUGGGCACUCUAAGGAGACUGCCGGUGACAAACCGGAGGAAGGUGGGGAUGACGUCAAGUCAUCAUGGCCCUUACGGCCUGGGCUACACACGUGCUACAAUGGUCGGUACAAAGGGUUGCCAAGCCGCGAGGUGGAGCUAAUCCCAUAAAACCGAUCGUAGUCCGGAUCGCAGUCUGCAACUCGACUGCGUGAAGUCGGAAUCGCUAGUAAUCGUGAAUCAGAAUGUCACGGUGAAUACGUUCCCGGGCCUU
rnacentral:rRNA from 1 species